rnacentral:lncRNA from 1 species
AGGAUGAUAGAACAUGGAUAUUACUAGGAUGAUAGAUGAAUGGAUCAUGAUGCAUAAGAACCCUCAUACUUAAAUAGGACUUAAUGAACUGAAAUGGAGUUGUGGUAGUGAUGAUUGAUUGGUGAUUGAUGCUUGUAUGUUUGGAUGUGUAGUCCCUUGAGUGGUUUGCGAUUAAAGCUAGGAUGGUAGAAAGAAGUGAAUGCUAGGUUGAUAGAUGAGAAAUGAAUGUUAAGGUUAUUGAGUAGAACUUGAGUGCGAUGUGUAUUAUGUGUGACACCGAUAACGGGUGGCGUCUAGUGAAUGAGUUCAAGUCCAAGACUAAGUGAAAAAGGAAAGUGAAUGAGAAUGAGAAGGGAUAAGUGAAAGUGAUAAGGAUGUGAAAGGAUAAGUGAAUGUAUAAGAGAAUAAUGUCAAGGUUAAGCAUGAGUCGGGAAAUCAUAUAGAGUCUAAGGAAAGUAUGUGUGGCAGUAGUUCCACGCUAGGUAUCCAUAGGAGAUGUGGCAAAUCCACAAGAAUAUAGACGCACCCAUAGGAGAUGUGGCGAAUCCACAAGAAUAUGGGAUAGAAGCCUAGCGGGAGCUACCCACAAUGAAAAGAAACGAAGUGCCAACCGCGAGAGGCGGGAUAUAAAAACGUGCAUUGUAGAGUCCUUAGUUCAUGGUCGGGUAACGGGGUGUUAAAGGUGUCAUAGGAUUGAGUCGGUCUGGUAAGAUGAGUCAAUUAAGUCUAGGGUUUGACGUGUGUGGCAAUGAGUGAGAUCAUUGUAUUGAUUGAUCACUAGGUUGCUAGAAAUGUAUGGAAUUGAAUGUUUGGAAUUAAUGAUGACGAUAUGAAAUGAUAAGAUGCAUUAACUGAUUGUAGUGGCUAGUCAGUCCUAGUUCCCGCAUAGAGUAGUAUAGAGUGUCAUGCGGGCAGGCUGGUCUAGA